CCUUCAUAAAAUUUUAACGACAGAUAAAAGAUUCCUCUUAUUGGGUUCUGCGAGAGGUGCUUAAAUUACUCAGAUACUUUGCCAAUUUUCUUUCUCAUCUUUUGGGAGCGGUAUUAAACAUAAAUAGUAUUUCAUUUUCCUCAAUGCCUUUGAGGAGGUCAAGCAGAAUUGGUGUUAUACGACGCUGUUGAUGAUGAUAAUCACUGUUGUGCCCUACGAACGCGGGUACGGUUAUGGUUAGGUCCAUCAGUGCAAGCUGGUGGACCUCCCCAUGUCUGCCCAGUAAUCUCAUUAUCUGGCUGCGAAGAUGCCACACUCGUAGCCACUGUCGGAGCAGCCGGAGGAGUUGCUGGUGAUGCCGAGGAUCCUUUACAACAAUUCCCCAUAGAAUCUAUAUACGUAAGAAGUCUUUGUGUACUCUUUGAGUGCACAAAGCAAAUAUAUGUGCGUGUG